GAUGAACGCUGGCGGCGUGCCUAAUACAUGCAAGUCGAGCGAACGGACGAGAAGCUUGCUUCUCUGAUGUUAGCGGCGGACGUGUGAGUAACACGUGUAUAACCUACCUAUACGACUGGGAUAACUUCGGGAAACCGGAUCUAAUACCGUAUAAUAUUUUGAACCGCAUGGUUCAAAAGUGAAAGACGGUCUUGCUGGCACUUAUAGAUGGAUCCGCGCUGCAUUAGCUAGUUGGUAAGGUAACGGCUUACCAAGGCAACGAUGCAUAGCCGACGUGAGAGGGGGAUAGGCGGCACUGGAGGUGAGACAGGGUCCAGACUACUACGGGAGGCAGCAGUAGGGAAUCUUCCGCAGUAGGCGGAAGCCUGACGGAGCAACGCCGCGUGAGUGGUGACGGUCUUCGGAUCGUAAAACUCUGUUAUUAGGGAAGAACAGAUGUGUAAGUAACUGUGCAGAUCGUGACGGUAACUAAUCAGAAAGCAACGGCUAACUACGUG
rnacentral:rRNA from 1 species